GCGUAGUCUAAAAACACAAACAAAUUACAAAGUCUGGAAACUCGUACAACACAGAUGUUAUCACUUGGCAAGUUAGAAAAGAAAUAAAUGCUAAACUCCAGCUUCAAAAAUUCCAAAAAUCCAAGGGCCGGAUGACUGCAAAUCUGCAAUUUCUUGGGUGUCGAACACACGCCUCCCUACAAAAUAUCUUAAAAAGAACUUUCUCACUUUGCUAGUUAAAUAGAUAAAUAAAUAUUAAACUCCGGCAGCUAAAGGCAUCCUCGUAAGCAAAAUGCAAUUUUAAAAAUUUCUCAAAAAUUUACUAAUGAUUCAAAAUCGAAAUUUUUGGCCUGACCACUAAUUGAAGCGAACUUGCGCCACAAAUGUAUUCCGUACUCAUUUUAUGACUGCAAUUUAUAGAGAAAAUUAAUGCUAAAAUCCGACUCGCAAAAACCCCCACAAAAACCAGAUGCGCUUUUGAAAAAUUCUUGAAAAUUGCCUGAUGAUGACUGAAAAUCUCCGGCCAGCAAAAACAACCAUAGAAAGUUCAUACUUUGAUCAGUAAACAUCGUGCUACGCAUCGCGCUCUGCAGAAUCACAGUGUUGGAAAUCGAAGCCAAAACUGUCUACAAGACUUUACCAUUCUUGGACAUGGAGGAGUCCAAAGCAGUACUGGCAGAGGAGGUGCUGAGCCGCUUUGAGGCGCUCGAGGCGAAACUGGAAAGCACUAUGAUGGAGGUUGCAUUUUGGAGGGAAAGGGCGGUAAAGGGCGGUAAAGGCGGAAAUGCUGUUAGCCGCCAAGAACUCCAAAGUGCAGGAGACGAUGGAAGAGGACAAAAUGGAGGAGAGCGCAGCCUCCACCAGCUGCAGCGACAAUGAAACGGUUGAGGGACCCGCUGAGGUGGCAGCUCCCUCAAUUGCCGCCAAGGAGGGCAGGGGCUCGGUGACGGACUCCUCAGACGGACUCCUCAGACGGCGAGGGCUAUCAAAGCUCAAAUCGCCGUCGAAGGAGGAAGCGAGCCAGGCCUGUGUCCUCCAGUGAGGACAACUCA